GCGGGAGUAGUUCAAUGGUAGAGCCCCAGCCUUCCAAGCUGAUGACGCGGGUUCGAUUCCCGUCUCCCGCUCCA
rnacentral:tRNA from 1 species